rnacentral:rRNA from 1 species
GACGAACGCUGGCGGCGUGCUUAACACAUGCAAGUCGAACGGUGAAGGGGCCUGCUUUUGUGGGCCCUGGAUGAGUGGCGAACGGGUGAGUAACACGUGAGUAACCUGCCCCCUUCUUCUGGAUAACCGCAUGAAAGUGUGGCUAAUACGGGAUAUUCUGGGUCUGUCGCAUGAUGGGUCUGGGAAAGAUUGCGCCUUUGGGUGUUUUUGGUGGGGGAUGGGCUCGCGGCCUAUCAGCUUGUUGGUGGGGUGAUGGCCUACCAAGGCGGUGACGGGUAGCCGGCCUGAGAGGGUGGACGGUCACACUGGGACUGAGACACGGCCCAGACUCCUACGGGAGGCAGCAGUGGGGAAGAUUGCACAAUGGGCGCAAGCCUGAUGCAGCGACGCCGCGUGAGGGAGGGAGGCCUUCGGGUUGUAAACCUCUUUCGCCAGUGAAGCAGGCCUGCUCCGUGUGGGUGGGUUGACGGUAGCUGGAUAAGAAGCGCCGGCUAACUACGUG